GAUGAACGCUAGCGGCAGGCCUAACACAUGCAAGUCGAGGGGUAGAACACUUAGGUGUUUGAGACCGGCGCACGGGUGCGUAACGCGUAUGCAAUCUACCUUGUACAGGGGAAUAGCCCAGAGAAAUUUGGAUUAAUGCCCCAUAGUAUAUAACCUUCGCAUGUUGGUUAUAUUAAAGUUCCAACGGUACAAGAUGAGCAUGCGUCCCAUUAGUUAGUUGGUAAGGUAACGGCUUACCAAGACGAUGAUGGGUAGGGGUCCUGAGAGGGAGAUACCCCACACUGUUACUGAGACACGGACCAGGCUCCUACGGAAGGCAGCAGUGAGGAAUAUUGGUCAAUGGUCGCAAGACUGAACCAGCCAUGCCACGUGCAGGAAGACGGUCCUAUGGAUUGUAAACUGCUUUUAUACAGGAAGAAACCCUCCCACGUUUGGGAGCUUGACGGUACUGUAGGAAUAAGGAUCGGCUAACUCCGUGCCAGCCGCCGCCGUAAAAC
rnacentral:rRNA from 1 species